AUUGAACGCUGGCGGCAGGCUUAACACAUGCAAGUCGAGCGGAGCGAGGGUGCUUGCACCUUAGCUUAGCGGCGGACGGGUGAGUAAUGCUUAGGAAUCUGCCUAUUAGUGGAGGACAACAUUCCGAAAGGAAUGCUAAUACCGCAUACGCCCUGCGGGGGAAAGCAGGGGAUCUUCGGACCUUGCGCUAAUAGAUGAGCCUAAGUCGGAUUAGCGAGUUGGUGGGGUAAAGGCCUACCAAGGCGACGAUCUGUAGCGGGUCUGAGAGGAUGAUCCGCCACACUGGGACUGGGACACGGCCCAGACUCCUACGGGAGGCAGCAGUGGGGAAUAUUGGACAAUGGGCGGAAGCCUGAUCCAGCCAUGCCGCGUGUGUGAAGAAGGCCUUUUGGUUGUAAAGCACUUUAAGCGAGGAGGAGGCUACUUAGAUUAAUACUCUGGGAUAGUGGACGUUACUCGCAGAAUAUGCACCGGCUAACUCUGUGCCAGCCGCCGCCGUAA
rnacentral:rRNA from 1 species